UACGGAAGGGGCAAGCGUUGUUCGGAAUCAUUGGGCGUAAAGGGCGCGCAGGUGGCUCUGUAUGUCUGCCGUGAAAGCAUACAGCUCAACUGUAUUGUGUCGGUAGAAACUGCAGGACUUGAGGCUGGGAGGGGCUGGUGGAAUUCCCUGUGUAGCGGUGAAAUGCGUGGAGAUGGGGGAGAACACUCGUGGCGAAGGCGGCCAGCUAGACCAGUUCUGACACUGAGGCGCGACAGCGUGGGGAGCAAACAGG
rnacentral:rRNA from 1 species